rnacentral:rRNA from 1 species
UACGAAGGGGGCUAGCGUUGCUCGGAAUCACUGGGCGUAAAGCGCACGUAGGCGGAUUGCUAAGUCAGGGGUGAAAUCCCGGAGCUCAACUUCGGAACUGCCCUUGAUACAGCACGUCUUGAGUCCGGAAGAGGUGGGUGGAAUUCCUAGUGUAGAGGUGAAAUUCGUAGAUAUUAGGAAGAACACCGGUGGCGAAGGCGGCCCACUGGUCCGGUACUGACGGCUGAGGUGCGAAAGCGUGGGGAGCAAACAGG